rnacentral:rRNA from 1 species
AGAGUUUGAUCCUGGCUCAGGAUGAACGCUAGCUACAGGCUUAACACAUGCAAGUCGAGGGGCAGCAUGGUCUUAGCUUGCUAAGGCCGAUGGCGACCGGCGCACGGGUGAGUAACACGUAUCCAACCUGCCGUCUACUCUUGGACAGCCUUCUGAAAGGAAGAUUAAUACAAGAUGGCAUCAUGAGUCCGCAUGUUCACAUGAUUAAAGGUAUUCCGGUAGACGAUGGGGAUGCGUUCCAUUAGAUAGUAGGCGGGGUAACGGCCCACCUAGUCUUCGAUGGAUAGGGGUUCUGAGAGGAAGGUCCCCCACAUUGGAACUGAGACACGGUCCAAACUCCUACGGGAGGCAGCAGUGAGGAAUAUUGGUCAAUGGGCGAGAGCCUGAACCAGCCAAGUAGCGUGAAGGAUGACUGCCCUAUGGGUUGUAAACUUCUUUUAUAAAGGAAUAAAGUCGGGUAUGGAUACCCGUUUGCAUGUACUUUAUGAAUAAGGAUCGGCUAACUCCGUGCCAGCAGCCGCGGUAAUACGGAGGAUCCGAGCGUUAUCCGGAUUUAUUGGGUUUAAAGGGAGCGUAGGUGGAUUGUUAAGUCAGUUGUGAAAGUUUGCGGCUCAACCGUAAAAUUGCAGUUGAUACUGGAUAUCUUGAGUGCAGUUGAGGCAGGCGGAAUUCGUGGUGUAGCGGUGAAAUGCUUAGAUAUCACGAAGAACUCCGAUUGCGAAGGCAGCCUGCUAAGCUGCAACUGACAUUGAGGCUCGAAAGUGUGGGUAUCAAACAGGAUUAGAUACCCUGGUAGUCCACACGGUAAACGAUGAAUACUCGCUGUUUGCGAUAUACUGCAAGCGGCCAAGCGAAAGCGUUAAGUAUUCCACCUGGGGAGUACGCCGGCAACGGUGAAACUCAAAGGAAUUGACGGGGGCCCGCACAAGCGGAGGAACAUGUGGUUUAAUUCGAUGAUACGCGAGGAACCUUACCCGGGCUUAAAUUGCAGAUGAAUUACGGUGAAAGCCGUAAGCCGCAAGGCAUCUGUGAAGGUGCUGCAUGGUUGUCGUCAGCUCGUGCCGUGAGGUGUCGGCUUAAGUGCCAUAACGAGCGCAACCCUUGUUGUCAGUUACUAACAGGUUCCGCUGAGGACUCUGACAAGACUGCCAUCGUAAGAUGUGAGGAAGGUGGGGAUGACGUCAAAUCAGCACGGCCCUUACGUCCGGGGCUACACACGUGUUACAAUGGGGGGUACAGAAGGCCGCUACCACGCGAGUGGAUGCCAAUCCCCAAAACCUCUCUCAGUUCGGACUGGAGUCUGCAACCCGACUCCACGAAGCUGGAUUCGCUAGUAAUCGCGCAUCAGCCACGGCGCGGUGAAUACGUUCCCGGGCCUUGUACACACCGCCCGUCAAGCCAUGAAAGCCGGGGGUACCUGAAGUACGUAACCGCAAGGAGCGUCCUAGGGUAAAACUGGUAAUUGGGGCUAAGUCGUAACAAGGUAGCCGUACCGGAAGGUGCGGCUG